rnacentral:rRNA from 1 species
GAUGAACGCUGGCGGCGUGCUUAACACAUGCAAGUCGAACGAAGCACCUUGAUUUGAUUCUUCGGAUGAAGUUCUUAAUGACUGAGUGGCGGACGGGUGAGUAACGCGUGGGUAACCUGCCUCAUACAGGGGGAUAACAGAUAGAAAUGACUGCUAAUACCGCAUAAGACCACAGCACCGCAUGGUGCAGGGGUAAAAACUCCGGUGGUAUGAGAUAGACCCGCGUCUGAUUAGGUAGUUGGUGGGGUAACGGCCUACCAAGCCGACGAUCAGUAGCCGACCUGAGAGGGGGCCCGGCUACGUUUGGACUGAGACACGGCCCCAACUCCUAGGGGAGGGAGCAGUGGGGAAUAUUGCAGAAGGGGGGAAACCCUGAUGCAGCGACGCCGCGGGAGCGAUGAAGUAUUUCGGUAUGUAAAGCUCUAUCAGCAGGGGAGAAAAUGACGGUACCUGACUAAGAAGCACCGGCUAAAUACGUG